UACGAAGGGGGCUAGCGUUGCUCGGAAUUACUGGGCGUAAAGCGCACGUAGGCGGCUCUUUAAGUCGGGGGUGAAAUCCUGGAGCUCAACUCCAGAACUGCCUUCGAUACUGGCGAUCUUCGAGUCCGGGAGAGGUGAGUGGAACUCCGAGUGUAGAGGUGAAAUUCGUAGAUAUUCGGAAGAACACCAGUGGCGAAGGCGGCUCACUGGCCCGGUACUGACGCUGAGAUACGAAAGCGUGGGGAGCAAACAGG
rnacentral:rRNA from 1 species